rnacentral:rRNA from 1 species
AAUCAACGCUGGCGGCGUGCCUAACACAUGCAAGUCGCACGAGAAAGGGGAGCAAUCCCUGAGUAAAGUGGCGCACGGGUGAGUAACACGUGAAUCAUCUACCUCCGAGUGGGGAAGUAAACUGAGAGAAAUCUUAGCUAAUACCGCAUAACACUUACGAGUCAAAGCAGCAAUGCGCUUGGAGAGGAGUUCGCGGCCGAUUAGUUAGUUGGCGGGGUAA